GCUAGCUGCCCAGAGCCAUAUGUUGAGAUAGAUGGCCAUAAAUAAAAUUCUGCUGAAAGAUCUGCACUGGCUACCAGUUAUCUACUGGAAAAAGAUGUCUCCUAUAUGACUACCAGGCUGUGGAACAUGCUCCAUAGGAAGUGUGUUAAGGAAGGUGUGUUCAGCUUUCAUUCACAGAGUAGAGUGAAACCUCAGUGCAUGGACUUGGCAUGCAAUGGACCAAGUUCCACUGAAAUGUAGUGAUGUAAUUAUGCAAAUGAUAAUAUUAGGCAAAUGAUUCAGUUUUUGCUAUUUGCAUUGGUUUAUGGCAUUCCCAUAAUGAUGUCAUUCAGGAGGAAAUUUGUGUCAUUUGCAACGCCGUGAUACUUUUCAAUUUACCAGACUUUGGGGAUAAUGGACACCCCCUUCCUCAAUUAUUCUGUAAAAAUGAGGUUUCAAUCUCUUUUGCCAAGCUUUUAAUUACCAAUUAUAUUGAUGAUUGGUUUCGAUGUUGGUUUUGAUUUUAACUGCAUCAAUUUUAUUGUAUUUUAUGUUUUGUAUGAUUUUAUUGUUGUAAGCCACUUUGAGCAGUGGAAUAAAGAGAAAGGUAGGGCAUAAAA